UACGUGAGGGGCGAACGUUGUUCGGUGUCACUGGGCUUAAAGGGUGCGUAGGUGGUUGCGUAAGUAACGUGUGAAAUCCCUCGGCUUACCCGGGGAAUUGCGCGUUAUACUGCGUGACUUGAGGAUUUCAGGGGAAUGGGGAACUCCAGGUGUAGCGGUGAAAUGCGCAGAUAUCUGGGGGAAGGCCGGCGGCGAAGGCGGCAUUCUGGACCGAUAUUGACGCUGAGGAGCGAAAGCCAGGGGGAGCAAACGGG
rnacentral:rRNA from 1 species